rfam:Triticum aestivum genome assembly, contig: Triticum_aestivum_CS42_TGACv1_scaffold_528616_6DL
CAAGUACUCCCUUCGUCCAAAAAUACUUGUCAUCAAAAUGGAUAAAAAAGAUGUAUCUAGAACUAAUAUACAUCUAGAUACGUCCCCUUUUAUUCAUUUUGAUGACAAAGUACUUCCGGAUGGAGGGAGUACUAC